CUAAAAUGAUUAAAAUGCAUCUCUUUAUGAAGAAGCUACGAAAGUCAACACCUCCUUUCUGACAAGCAGCAGAAAGGAACAGGCUGAAGCAGAUGCGACUUGGAAUUUAAAGUACGCCGGGCCUCUUAGCACACAAGGGAACGAUACCAAUCUCCGUCUUGAUUUAUUCCUUUAACAAAUAUCCAUUCUGCCCUCUCGAUGUUCCAGGCACUGCUGGGAAGGAAAAGCAAGCGUUGAGCCAAGUGAAGCACAAAACAGUUCCAUCCUGCCAAGUGUCACUUCAGACACACAAACAGUCGCUUUUAUGAGAGCUCACCUUAAUUCCUAGAACUGCCAGCUACAACAACAACAGACAUAUUUGAUGUCCCCGGACAGGAUUUUUUGGGAAACCAGAAUCGCAAACGUGCUGGGACUACAGCCGGGAGGGACUGAGAGGAGCAGGGGUGACCUGCGUGUUCAUUGCCCAACACGCAUCGACUGUCUCGGUGCGUUCUUGGGCAAGGUGAUCCUCCAGCCUCCUGCAGCUGUUUUCUAGGGCACCCCAAUUGUGCCUGGUCCCCCACAAACCACAGCAGAGAAGCAGCAACAGACUGAGCAGUGAGAGAGUUGAAUAGCCUAUGUAGCAUUUUUGUCAGACAGAAGAAUCAGAAAAUACAUAACACUUCUGCAACAGGAGCAUUUGAGAAUAACUACAGAUGCAAGAGUAUUCAGAAAGACUCCUCUUUGAAAAUAGAAGCUUUCUUUCAGCUUCAGCUCUAGGUGCUAAGUGCACAGCACUUCAGCAAAAGUUUGGAGGCAACACGAACCAAACACAAAUGUGAAAUGAAGCUAAAAGGACAGCUUUUGGCAGAGGGACCAGGCGCACUCUGCAGGCCGGGGAAGCGUCUGCACGGAGCUGGAUUCCUGCAGCAAAGUCAAGCCUGUAGGAUGGUGGUGCUGGUGACCCGGUGAUCAUCACCACCUGCACAGCCCUGCGACACCAUCCUUGCUGCUGUUAGCGACACCACGGCCGGGAGCGGUGAAUUUCAUGCUCAGAACGUGGUCUCCUGAGCUGUGAGCCCCGAGAGGGCAGGAACCACAUCAUACUCAGCAUUGAGUGCCAAGCGCCUGUGUAGGGCCUGACGUUAACUCAUUCAUCAGAAACAGCGAUUGAAGGACCUCCUGGGCGUGACCUGAUUCCAGGAGGACUGCGGUCUGCUGUCACCAUUAGAAGCUUCCCGGCCUCCGACCGCGUUCACCCUAACCAGACCGACUUCCCAAGAGAGGCUGGACUCCAUUUUCGACACCAGAGAGAAUGCUGAAGAAGAAGAGUUUUAAAUAAGAUUAAGAAAAAAGAAAGCCCUUAUAUAUCCUGAUUCCAAUCUGGAUAUUCUGAAGCUUUAUUUAUUCUGAAAGCAUUUGUUUUGAGAAAUACUUCUAGUACUUUCAGGAAUUAAAACUCUAGCAGUGCUUGAGACGGUCUUCCUGGAAAUGUAUUUGCUAAUGUAUAUUUCCAGCCUCAAGCAAACCCAUGGAAAAGAAGCAUGCCUAAAUAACAAUGUGGGUGAGAGCUACACACUGGAUGUUUGUGUCCACCCAAAAUUCAUAUAUUGAAAUCCUAACCCACAAUAUGAUUGUACUAGAAGAUGGAGCCUUUGGUAGGUGAUUCAGUCAUUCAUGAGGGUGGAGCCCCCAUGCAUGAGAUUAGUGCCCUUUAUAAAAGAGAACACAAGUGCUCGCUCAUCUUUUCCACCAUGUGAGGAUACAGAGAGAAGACAGCCAACUACCAACCAAGAAGAAGGCUCCAGAUGUCACCAGACGUCAAAUCUGCUGGCACCUUGAUCUUGGACUGCCCAUUCUCCAGAACUGUGAGCAAUACAUUUCUGUUGUCUAAAAGCUAACCAGUCUGUGGUACUUUGCUACAGCUGCUCAAACAGACUAAGAAAAUGAUUGACGGGAAGUGGGAAACUAAACCAGAGCAAAGAACCCUCUCUGAUCAUGCACUUUGGAACUUCAUGACAUCAGGUGUUCCCAUCCCUGGGAGAAAGGCUCUCAUGCUAACUAACUGGAAGUGUAUUUUACUAUGCUAAGGGAAAGUUGUACUUGCUCACAGUUGGUCUUUUGCAUCAGAAUAGGGCAGUGGGAUGUAUAAACUCAAAGGUUUUCUUUAUCAAGUUUGCAACCUGUAGAAACCACAAGAACCACAAAGAUUCUCUAAUUCAUUAUAGGCUUCUUAAUUUCAAACCUACAGGAGUGUACCUUGGUUCACACUUAUUGAAGCAAUCUUUCUUGUGUAUAAGAAAAAAAAAAGAGGCUUAAAAAUAGGCAUAACUAGGACAAGUUACUCAGUGAAAACUGCUUUUAAUUAUAAAUGAAAUAAAAAGAA